GUCCUGGGAUCGCAGGCCUGGUAACUGAGUGGCCACUGGGCUCCUGUCACAUACGCCCACGGCCACGAGGCUGAGUCAAGGAAGAGGACAGCCCCACCACACCCAGACAGGAAACGCUGACCUCCUGCUGACCAUCACACCUGAAGGAGCACAGAGCAUGAGCCUCCAGGUCUGGGCUUGUGGUGAGCAG
rnacentral:lncRNA from 1 species